UACGUAUGGUGCAAGCGUUAUCCGGAAUGACUGGGUGUAAAGGGAGCGUAGACGGUUGUACAAGUCUGAUGUGAAAGCCCACGGCUCAACUGUGGGAGUGCAUUGGAAACUGUAGAACUAGAGUAUCGGAGAGGCAAGUGGAAUUCCUAGUGUAGCGGUGAAAUGCGUAGAUAUUAGGAGGAACACCAGUGGCGAAGGCGGCUUGCUGGACGAAAACUGACGUUGAGGCUCGAAAGCGUGAGGAGCAAACAGG
rnacentral:rRNA from 1 species